GAUGAACGCUGGCGGCGUGCCUAAUACAUGCAAGUCGAGCGAACAGAUGAGGAGCUUGCUCCUCUGACGUUAGCGGCGGACGGGUGAGUAACACGUGGAUAACCUACCUAUAAGACUGGGAUAACUUCGGGAAACCGGAGCUAAUACCGGAUAAUAUAUUGAACCGCAUGGUUCAAUAGUGAAAGACGGUUUUGCUGUCACUUAUAGAUGGAUCCGCGCCGCAUUAGCUAGUUGGUAAGGUAACGGCUUACCAAGGCAACGAUGCGUAGCCGACCUGAGAGGGUGAUCGGCCACACUGGAACUGAGACACGGUCCAGACUCCUACGGGAGGCAGCAGUAGGGAAUCUUCCGCAAUGGGCGAAAGCUUGACGGAGCAACGCCGCGUGAGUGAUGAAGGUCUUCGGAUCGUAAAACUCUGUUAUUAGGGAAGAACAAAUGUGUAAGUACUAUGCACGUCUUGACGGUACCUAAUCAGAAAGCCACGGCUAACUACGUG
rnacentral:rRNA from 1 species